rnacentral:rRNA from 1 species
GGCUCAGGAUGAACGCUGGCGGCGUGCCUAACACAUGCAAGUCGAACGGAACUUCUUCGACAGAAUUCUUCGGAAGGAAGUUGAUUAAGUUUAGUGGCGGACGGGUGAGUAACGCGUGAGUAACCUGCCUUUGAGAGGGGAAUAACUUCCCGAAAGGGAUGCUAAUACCGCAUGAUGCAUAUUUAUCGCAUGGUAGAUGUGCCAAAGAUUUAUCGCUCAAAGAUGGACUCGCGUCCGAUUAGCCAGUUGGCGGGGUAACGGCCCACCAAAGCGACGAUCGGUAGCCGGACUGAGAGGUUGAACGGCCACAUUGGGACUGAGACACGGCCCAGACUCCUACGGGAGGCAGCAGUGGGGGAUAUUGCGCAAUGGGGGAAACCCUGACGCAGCAACGCCGCGUGAAGGAUGAAGGUUUUCGGAUUGUAAACUUCUUUUAUUUAGGACGAACAAUGACGGUACUAAAUGAAUAAGCUCCGGCUAACUACGUGCCAGCAGCCGCGGUAAUACGUAGGGAGCAAGCGUUAUCCGGAUUUACUGGGUGUAAAGGGUGCGUAGGCGGCUUGGUAAGUCAGAUGUGAAAUGUAUGGGCUCAACCCAUGCACUGCAUUUGAAACUAUUGAGCUUGAGUGAAGUAGAGGUAGGCGGAAUUCCCUGUGUAGCGGUGAAAUGCGUAGAGAUAGGGAGGAACACCAGUGGCGAAGGCGGCCUACUGGGCUUUAACUGACGCUGAGGCACGAAAGCGUGGGUAGCAAACAGGAUUAGAUACCCUGGUAGUCCACGCUGUAAACGAUGAUUACUAGGUGUGGGGGGUCUGACCCCUUCCGUGCCGGAGUUAACACAAUAAGUAAUCCACCUGGGGAGUACGACCGCAAGGUUGAAACUCAAAUGAAUUGACGG